GUCAAGGCCCUUUUUAGGGCCACCUAUCCAUUCACUUGAGAGAACU
rfam:Camelus ferus unplaced genomic scaffold scaffold595, whole genome shotgun sequence.